UCGGGAUUCCGCUCAAUACUUGUAAACAACACAGUUGCACGCUGUAUGAAAACUUUACUACGAGAGAGGAUGUCGUGCCGAGGACCGCCAGAAAAUCUCUUAAUUCGGUGGCCAUGGAUUUCACAUAGGCCAAAGCUUGAGCGUACAUUCAACGCCCUGUUUGGCGGUGCACAAUGACCCAAUGAAGGAAACAUCUGCCUGCGUGUUGCACCGUCUGCACCAGAUCACCACAGCCGGCUAACUGAGGGAGAACUUCUGCACGGCACAUCCACAUCGCCGGAGCAACUGCUGCUGCUCUCUCACACACACAGGCACACACACAUGUGAAGUUCUGCUUCAGCAUACCACCAGCAUCCUCCACAGCAACUGUGUGUGUGUGUCUGUUUGUGUAUGUGUGUCGACACAUGAACUUUCUCUUUUCAUCCAGCAGUUGGGAACAUGCCUCGGUCCUCACCGCUGGCCAUCAGCUCUGUUCCAUUUUCUUCUGGAGUGUGUGGACGUAUACGCGAGCACGUGCACACAGUUCCUGUGUGGUAACCCUGUUUAGAUGCAGUGGUUUACACUGAUCAGUGCAGAGCCACACAGGUUUUUCAGUGCAGACUAGCAGAGGAAGACUCUGGCUGUGCAGUAUUUUCAUCCGUGUUCAAACUAAACUCACAAAAAUGCUGAUACAGAAAUGACAUUCUGGUCAGUAUGGCUCCUGAUGUGGUUUUCAGGAUAAAACCAGUGUAUCUGCUAAUUUAAAUGUAGUUUGUUAAAGGCACAAACUGUUCUGUGGUUGGUGGCAAAUGUGGUACAUGUAAUGUAGAACACAUAAUCGGAUUACUUUUUGAGAGAAAUA